rnacentral:rRNA from 1 species
AUUGAACGCUGGCGGCAGGCCUAACACAUGCAAGUCGAGCGGAUGAAGGGAGCUUGCUCCUGGAUUCAGCGGCGGACGGGUGAGUAAUGCCUAGGAAUCUGCCUGGUAGUGGGGGAUGACGUCCGGAAACGGGCGCUAAUACCGCAUACGUCCUGAGGGAGAAAGUGGGGGAUCUUCGGACCUCACGCUAUCAGAUGAGCCUAGGUCGGAUUAGCUAGUUGGUGGGGUAAAGGCCUACCAAGGCGACGAUCCGUAACUGGUCUGAGAGGAUGAUCAGUCACACUGGAACUGAGACACGGUCCAGACUCCUACGGGAGGCAGCAGUGGGGAAUAUUGGACAAUGGGCGAAAGCCUGAUCCAGCCAUGCCGCGUGUGUGAAGAAGGUCUUCGGAUUGUAAAGCACUUUAAGUUGGGAGGAAGGGCAGUAAGUUAAUACCUGGCUGUUUUGACGUUACCAACAGAAUAAGCACCGGCUAACUUCGU